AAACAGGAGCACAUAGUUUAUACUGAAGUUCAGAUACAAGCUUUGAUCAUCCCAUGACACAAAUCUCUCGCUGCUUAAAGCAAACUUAACAGGAUUUCGAAACUAACGUCAAGAAGCUAGAGAAUAUAACUCACUGAAUUCUAAUACAUCCGGAAUUCCAAUACAUCACAUCCAAACUAGAACACAACUAUUUACAUAAUGUUGACAUGAGUUGACUAGUAAAGCUUGCAAAUGAAGGUGGC
rnacentral:lncRNA from 1 species